GAUGAACGCUGGCGGCGUGCCUAAUACAUGCAAGUCGAGCGAACAGACGAGGAGCUUGCUCCUCUGACGUUAGCGGCGGACGGGUGAGUAACACGUGGAUAACCUACCUAUAAGACUGGGAUAACUUCGGGAAACCGGAGCUAAUACCGGAUAAUAUAUUGAACCGCAUGGUUCAAUAGUGAAAGACGGUUUUGCUGUCACUUAUAGAUGGAUCCGCGCCGCAUUAGCUAGUUGGUAAGGUAACGGCCUACCAAGGCAACGAUGCGUAGCCGACCUGAGAGGGUGAUCGGCCACACUGGAACUGAGACACGGUCCAGACUCCUACGGGAGGCAGCAGUAGGGAAUCUUCCGCAAUGGGCGAAAGCUUGACGGAGCAACGCCGCGUGAGUGAUGAAGGUCUUCGGAUCGUAAAACUCUGUUAUUAGGGAAGAACAAAUGUGUAAGUAACUAUGCACGUCUUGACGGUACCUAAUCAGAAAGCCACGGCUAACUACGUG
rnacentral:rRNA from 1 species